GUGAACGCUGGCGGUAGGCCUAACACAUGCAAGUCGAACGGCAGCACAGUAAGAGCUUGCUCUUACGGGUGGCGAGUGGCGGACGGGUGAGGAAUACAUCGGAAUCUACUUUUUCGUGGGGGAUAACGUAGGGAAACUUACGCUAAUACCGCAUACGACCUACGGGUGAAAGCAGGGGAUCUUCGGACCUUGCGCGAUUGAAUGAGCCGAUGUCGGAUUAGCUAGUUGGCGGGGUAAAGGCCCACCAAGGCGACGAUCCGUAGCUGGUCUGAGAGGAUGAUCAGCCACACUGGAACUGAGACACGGUCCAGACUCCUACGGGAGGCAGCAGUGGGGAAUAUUGGACAAUGGGCGCAAGCCUGAUCCAGCCAUACCGCGUGGGUGAAGAAGGCCUUCGGGUUGUAAAGCCCUUUUGUUGGUAAAGAAAAGCAGCAGGUUAAUACCCCGCUGUUCUGACGGUACCCAAAGAAUAAGCACCGGCUAACUUCGUG
rnacentral:rRNA from 1 species